rnacentral:rRNA from 1 species
AUUGAACGCUGGCGGCAGGCUUAACACAUGCAAGUCGAACGGUAACAUAAAGGAGCUUGCUUCUUUGAUGACGAGUGGCGGACGGGUGAGUAAUGCUUGGGAAUCUAGCUUAUGGAGGGGGAUGACUACGGGAAACUGUAGCUAAUACCGCGUAGAAUCGGGAGAUGAAAGUGUGGGACCUUCGGGCCACAUGCCAUAGGAUGAGCCCAAGUGGGAUUAGGUAGUUGGUGAGGUAAAGGCUCACCAAGCCGACGAUCUCUAGCUGGUCUGAGAGGAUGACCAGCCACACUGGGACUGAGACACGGCCCAGACUCCUACGGGAGGCAGCAGUGGGGAAUAUUGCGCAAAGGGGGCAACCCUGACGCAGCCAUGCCGCGUGAAUGAAGAAGGCCUUCGGGUUGUAAAGUUCUUUCGGUAGCGAGGAAGGCAUUUAGUUUAAUAGACUAGGUGAUUGACGUUAACUACAGAAGAAGCACCGGCUAACUCCGUG